CGGUUUGGUAAAUCCUUUGUGAAAUUGUCAGGCUCAACCUGACAGCGGGCAGAGGAGACUGCUAGACUAGGGACCGGGAGGCGUGCGAGGUAUUCCUUGGGGAACGGUAAAAUGUUAUAAUCCUUGGAAGACCACCUGUGGCGAAAGCGUCGCACGAGAACGGGUCCGACGGUGAGGGACGAAAGCCAGGGUAGCGAUCCGGAUUAGAUACCCGAGUAGUCCUGGCUGUAAACUCUGCGAGUUAGGUGUUGCAUGUUCUUCGUGAAUAUGCAGUAUCGUAGCGAAGGCGUUAAACUCGCCGCCUGGGGA
rnacentral:rRNA from 1 species